GGAUGAACGCUGGCGGCGUGCCUAACACAUGCAAGUCGAACGAAGCGAUUUAACGGAAGUUUUCGGAUGGAAGUUGAAUUGACUGAGUGGCGGACGGGUGAGUAACGCGUGGGUAACCUGCCUUGUACUGGGGGACAACAGUUAGAAAUGACUGCUAAUACCGCAUAAGCGCACAGUAUCGCAUGAUACAGUGUGAAAAACUCCGGUGGUACAAGAUGGACCCGCGUCUGAUUAGCUAGUUGGUAAGGUAACGGCUUACCAAGGCGACGAUCAGUAGCCGACCUGAGAGGGUGACCGGCCACAUUGGGACUGAGACACGGCCCAAACUCCUACGGGAGGCAGCAGUGGGGAAUAUUGCACAAUGGGCGAAAGCCUGAUGCAGCGACGCCGCGUGAGUGAAGAAGUAUUUCGGUAUGUAAAGCUCUAUCAGCAGGGAAGAAAAUGACGGUACCUGACUAAGAAGCCCCGGCUAACUACGUGCCAGCAGCCGCGGUAAUACGUAGGGGGCAAGCGUUA
rnacentral:rRNA from 1 species